ACUUUGCUUUUAGGCAGCUACUUGAGGACUACGAGCGUGUGCUUAAAACUCAAAGAACUUGGCGGCUCGUUAACUACCCAGGGGAACAUGCGCCUUAAUCCGAUGAUCCACGAUAAAUCUUACUGUGCCUCGAAGAAGUACAGCUGGUGUAUUGCCGUUUUCAGCUUGUUGUUCGAGCAAAGAGAAACAGGCCCAACGGAGCCGGUGAUUAAUUUUGCUGGUAGCCAUGAAUUCAGGUCGUAAUACUGCCAAUGGCACAGGGAGCGGGUGUUACAAUUCUGAACUUAGAAAUACGGAUCCUUGGGUGAAAUCCCUUGGUGAAGGUGAACUUGGGAGUAAGGGGGGAUUAAUAAGCUCUCCUGAACGUGAAACUAACUUGUGUACAAACUGCCCGUCGCUCUCGGCGUGAGCUGAGAU
rnacentral:rRNA from 1 species